AAGGGGAUAACACUUGGAAACAGGUGCUAAUACCGUAUAACAAUCGAAACCGCAUGGUUUUGAUUUGAAAGGCGCUUUCGGGUGUCGCUGAUGGAUGGACCCGCGGUGCAUUAGCUAGUUGGUGAGGUAACGGCUCACCAAGGCGACGAUGCAUAGCCGACCUGAAAGGGUGAUCGGCCACAUUGGGACUGAGACACGGCCCAAACUCCUACGGGAGGCAGCAGUAGGGAAUCUUCGGCAAUGGACGAAAGUCUGACCGAGCAACGCCGCGUGAGUGAAAAAGGUUUUCGGAUCGUAAAACUCUGUUGUUAGAGAAGAACAAGGAUGAGAGUAACUGUUCAUCCCUUGACGGUAUCUAACCAGAAAGCCACGGCUAACUACGUGCCAGCAGCCGCGGUAAUACGUAGGUGGCAAGCGUUGUCCGGAUUUAUUGGGCGUAAAGCGAGCGCAAGCGGUUUCUUAAGUCUGAUGUGAAAGCCCCCGGCUCAACCGGGGAGGGUCAUUGGAAACUGGGAGACUUGAGUGCAGAAGAGGAGAGUGGAAUUCCAUGUGUAUCGGUGAAAUGCGUAUAUAUAUGGAGGAACACCAGUGGCGAAGGCGGCUCUCUGGUCUGUAACUGACGCUGAGGCUCGA
rnacentral:rRNA from 1 species